GACGAACGCUGGCGGCGUGCCUAAUACAUGCAAGUUGAGCGAUGAAGAUUGGUGCUUGCACCAAUUUGAAGAGCAGCGAACGGGUGAGUAACGCGUGGGGAAUCUGCCUUUGAGCGGGGGACAACAUUUGGAAACGAAUGCUAAUACCGCAUAACAACUUUAAACAUAAGUUUUAAGUUUGAAAGAUGCAAUUGCAUCACUCAAAGAUGAUCCCGCGUUGUAUUAGCUAGUUGGUGAGGUAAAGGCUCACCAAGGCGAUGAUACAUAGCCGACCUGAGAGGGUGAUCGGCCACAUUGGGACUGAGACACGGCCCAAACUCCUACGGGAGGCAGCAGUAGGGAAUCUUCGGCAAUAGACGAAAGUCUGACCGAGCAACGCCGCGUGAGUGAAGAAGGUUUUCGGAUCGUAAAACUCCGUUGGUAGAGAAGAACGUUGGUGAGAGUGGAAAGCUCAUCAAGUGACGGUAACUACCCAGAAAGGGACGGCUAACUACGUG
rnacentral:rRNA from 1 species